rnacentral:rRNA from 1 species
CGCGUAGGCGGACCUUCAAGUCGGGUGUGAAAACUGGCGGCUUAACCCACCAGCCUGCACUCGAUACUGUCGGUCUUGAGUACAGAAGGGGAAAGGUGGAAUUCCAGGUGUAGCGGUGAAAUGCGUAGAUAUCUGGAAGAACACCAGUAGCGAAGGCGACUUUCUGGUCUGAUACUGACGCUAAAGCGCGAAGGCUAGGGUAGCAAACA